UCCAGUGGAACAGUGCGGUCUCCUUUAAUCUGCACGUUCUCCACCUUUGGUGAGAAGUAAAAGCCGUCUGUCUGUGCGCUGAGGAAACGAGAGUAUCAGUUGCAGAUGUGGGAUUGUAGCGUGUGGACGACUCGGGGCUGCCAAAGGCAACACAAUCACCAACUAUCUUCCUGCACAGGCUCCAUGGUGGAGGUGCACGCUGCACGCAUGUGUUUUCCAUUCUUAACAGCCUCUUUGUAUUACGCUGUCCGACCACAGCGCCGCCACCAACAUAAACUGGCAUGUAUCGCCACUGGCCACAUGAUUAGGAUUACCCAAACACAAGUGGACUGUUUUCCAAGACUUUGGAGGGUGAGGACCCGCCCUUAAGGAAGAAGGGAUUCCAUGCAGAUAAGUGCUUUACCACACGCUUUCUUUCUGUUUUAGUGCUCAAUGCAUUCAUGCUAACAUUGAACCUUUACAGUUUGCUGCUAAUGCAAGCAUUAUUUGGCAUUGAUGGAGGGCUUCGUUUUAUUUAGUUGCCUUUUCUUUCGUGAACUUCUUCAAGUGUCUGCUCAUGUCCAGCUGUGAGGCAUUUUACAUCAGCUCUAGUCCCUGGAGGAUCUAUGAUGAAUAAGAAGACGUAGCAGGACGGAUCCGUGUUGUCUAUUUAGCCGCUUUGGAUUCAGACCCCGCCUCUGUGACUUUUUCUGGUCUUAUUGGACACUUUUGGAGGCUCUAACAUGAAAGUACAUAUCUCUCUGCUUGCCGAGCCACGGGUCCACUCCGGUGUUAAAACAUUUCCAUCCACACGGGUGCAUAAAAACACGGGCGCAUUUUGGCCAAUCAGAAGCUUGAAACUGCCACCGCAUCUGACUUGGUGGUGCAUAACAACACAUCUGUUCAUUCAUGCAGUGAGAUAUUAGAUGCACAACGAUGUGUACAUUUUCUGUAAAAUCAGUGCACAUCUUACAUGCAGCCCUGGAAAUACCUUUUUUUUUUAUCGCCUGCGCGUGUUGUGAGGCACACAAAAUGAAACCAAAACCUGUAAGUCAAACUUCCUGUGCUGUUAAAUAAGCUUUACAAACAUGAGAUAAUGUCAUCCUGGCCAAUUAUGCAAAUUAGGUGAUGACACCCGCUCCACCCGGCACCACAGAUAGAUUGCAGCCCUGAGGGAAACCAUGCACUAUUGUCUUUUUAUGAUCUGGUGUGGGGAAAUGCCUGCACGUAGAGGGCAUCCACAGACGUUAACAAGGCAACAAAAGCGUGGCAGACGUGUGGAAGCAGGUGAUUUAGCCGCUGAUGAUGCACAUUAGCACGUUCUGGAUGAGCGCCGCAAAGACAGGAAGGCAAACAUCACCUCCAAGCUGCAUCCUCACUGCUUACAGUCAACAAUGCAAGGCAGGAAUACAGCAGGAAGUUGGAGGUCAUUUUAGUUGCUGAAUGCCGCGCCUCCAUGUAUAGCUGUCUUUUUAAGGUAUUUCAAAACAACCUCCUCCCAGGAUCAUGGGAAGCUUCUGGAACGCGUCAAAGUAAAAUCACAGCCUGAACUGGAGAGAGUAAAUAAAAAAACAUGCUUCCCUUCAACACAGAUAUGUCAACAGCCCCCCCUCCUUUCCCACUCUGCCACUCCGCUACCCGUCUAGCUGGCUGCACAUAGACACAAGUGCAAUGUGGACUUGAUGGAGUUAAUGAUUGAAACCAGGCCAUUAUCACCUUGGCUUCAUCUUACCUGCGACUCUUUACGACACUUUUAAAAGCUACCUAAACACGUCCACUGUCACCCGUUAAAAAAAGUCAUUUUAAGUGUGAAAAAGCUCCUCAAUGCAAGGAAGAAGCGUGGCCCGUGAAUGGGGCGCGUCCGUACAGUGAGUCAGUCAGCGGGUACAAUGAUGCUGACUGACAUUAAAAGCAACACACCCUCUCCAUUCACCAAAGUACCAUGCUUGUAUUGAAGGAUCAUAACGGAUGUAUCUGCUCCCUAAACAUUCUCUGAACCUGUCUGAAAUCUUCUAAGUCACCUUGACAAUACGCACAUACGAAGGAUGUCGCGAGCCGCGGGACCGGCUGCCGAUUGGCUGUGUUUUUGAAGAUCGGAAAACAUUGGUGUACCGUGGUGAAACUACCGUGGUUAGUUUCACGUUGGAUGUCGGAUAUUCGGCUCCGUAGCUGCAGCGGUAGUUCCCCCUCGCUGUGCCUGGACUGCUGUGUCAUGGUGCGGGGACCUCGCACGGGAAGUGCUGCUCUAACCGCUGGUUGUUUAUACUAGGGGCCGUCAAUAAAUUGCUAAAUUGAGAGUUUGUUAAAAAUAAAUGUAAUUUCUAAAUCACACCACAAAUUGGUCCAUAACCCUGUCAAAUGGUUAGACCUAACCGAAAAGUAUUUUUGGAUGCCCAUCUUUUAUCAGAUGGACUUUUAUUGGAUUAGGGACCUGGCUCGCUUUGUUACAAAAGCCAAACAAUAUUGCUGGUCAUGCGGUGUAGUAAAAAAGUACAUUCAGCAGUGCUUUGGUUUCAUUACUUUUCAUGCUUUGAAGAGCUUUUUUCAUCACAAACCCAAACAAAGCCUCCUAUGUGCUGGUGUCACCCUUUCUGUCUGUCUUUCUUUCUUGAGCAUCAUUUGAAACACUUUACAGAAUAACCCGCCAUGGGGCCAAAGACAGUUGCAAGUGCUGGCAAUUUGAUAAAGAAGUCGAGAAACACUCUUGAAUUGAACCUGCUCAGGAUGUGCAGGACGUCCACGCUAACGAUAAGUUCCAUUCUGGCAAGGGAAGAAGAAAUCAAGGACGCCCAUGUUGCGAAAGGGGGAAAGGUGUUAACAAAAUAAAAGCUCACAAACGAUGUUAGGAAGUCUCUCUCCUGUCCUUGUCGUCUUUCAUACACCAAACAACAGUUUUCAUGGAGGUAAACAUGAUCCAUUUUCAUGGUCAUUUAGAUCUACUGCAUUUCUCAUUGUUUUCUACAUGUACGACUAUCAUUAUUUUCUGUACAAAUGUAUUUUUUGUUCAUAUUCCUAUUAGGGCUGUCAAAUGAUGAAAAAUGUAAUCAAAUUAAUCCCAGUUUUCAAAUGCAUUCUGAUUAAUUGUCAUUUGCUGCCAUGUGUGAAACACCGUGUGCCCAUUUUGCUGUAUUUUAUGAAGAGAAAGAUAAACGACAGGACAGGAAGACGUGGUGUAGAUUUGCAUGGAAGAACAGCUCCAAACGACAGGACAGGAAGACGUGGUGUAGAUUUGCAACAGCUCCAAAUCACCGCAACAUUGAAAUCAAGCUAAGAGACGGCACACGCGUCUGAAAAUGUACUCGCCUAACACGAGUGUCUUUAACAGUAGCACAACAUUUAAUCACACGUUAACUGCGUUAUCAUGAGCCACGAAGGAUUGCGUUCAAAGACACUACGUAGCUUACACUGAAUUGACAAGUCGAGAUGUAUUUUCUGGCAUUUCCGAGCAUACUUGUGUGUGUGUGUGUGUGUGUGUGUGUGUGUGUGUUGGAAUUACUAACACAAUAACAAACUUUCCAAUUGUACUCCAAAGUAGUGUAGCACAUUCCACCUCCAACUUUACACCCCCCGUUUGCCGUCUUUGGGACUGGAGCGUCUGCUUAGACGGUAAACAUCCGCUGAUGACAGUGUAAAGAUGCAGCAGGCGUCACUUUGUGGUGGCUUUGUACGCAGGACAGCCACAAAGCUGCUUUACUUAUGUUAUUUCCUGUAGUGCUCUUACCGAUGCUCAGUCACCAGGAAGACAGAACAUUUUAUGAAGUGAUGGAGGUCCAUCAGAGCCUUUGUUUUAAGAGCAACAACCUCCACGAAAAGCUCAGUGUGUGACUUUGUGAAGAGUUUUUAGUGCUGCUAACUCGUACUUCCUUGCACGUUCAGCCCUCAGAAUUUACUCCCUAUGUUUUUUUAUGCAGGCUGAAUUGGUUUUACAAGCUCCAGGCUCAUCCCCGUAACCCCCCCCACACACACUUCCACAUGGACUACUUGGACAAACAGCAACAACAGGCUGCUGAUGCUGGGAGAUUCCCACCCGAAAGAGACCACCGCCGCGUGCCGCCGACCGACUGCCUCCGAUUGGACUUAACUGGUGGAGCGAGAGCAGCAGGAAUACCAUCCCUCACACGCACACACACACACACACACACACACUGACCGCCCCCCUCUCCCUUGCACAGAAAGUGAUGACUGAUUUUGACUGGAACUACACACACAUUGUCCUGGCCCAUCUCUGCAGUGCACACACACACACACACACACACAAAUAAACACACAAUCUUUCACAAUAGCAUCUCCACCCCCUCAGCACCUCGCUCCCCCCUUUGUCCCUCCCCUCUUCUCUGCCUUUAAUCACUCACUUUCACUCUUUUGGACCUGUUGCAGCAUUCUUACCCUUUACACUUAAAGCUACACUAAGUAACCAUUUCAGAUUACAGAAUAAGAGCGUCACCAUCCUAACUAGGGCUUCUGACGAGGAGAGCGGCAUUUCUUUCUGUGGCUUGGUGGCCUUGGAUCGCCUGCUGGGAUUUCAUGUUAUGACACGGACAAGUGCAAGGUCUGCGGGACAUGCUAACAUCAAAAUGGUGGGGAAGGAGUCUCUCCUACGCUGACUUGUCGUUAAAGAGACAUAUUUGAUCCGAGAGGAGACUGAGGGCCAACACAGCAAAGCAGAGGCUGCGGAGUCGACGACUGCAACGUCCAGAGCUAAGCUAACAUUAGCGUGUGUUCAUUGUGCUUGGCUGGACCAAUCAGCACCCAGCAGUGGAUGACGUCACCCAUAUAGUAUCUGCUCGACAAACCUGGAACCCUGGCUGACCAGGUACCGGUAUCAGUACCUUGUAGUACCUGCUUUUACCGAUGGAAACGUGCCCAUGGUGGGUCAGGCAGAGUUGGUACUGUGGCUUUUCAGUUAUCCCUUACUGGUGCUUUAAAUUGUCCCCCACUUCUCUUAAUGCACACUUGUGCACAUCUUUCAUCCCCCCACCCCUCCCACAUGUAUCGUGAUGGUGAUGCCGGGUGUCAACACUUUGUAUUAAUAGCUGACACCAGCGCGCCCUUGAUGGGCUGUGAAGGGGCGGAGCUUCAGGGAGCUUUUUCUGGUCUUGUGGGACACUUUUGGAGACUCUAACAUGAAGUCAUGCUCCGUCUUGCUCGUGACAUAAAAAUAAACACAGAAAGGAAGUUA